UGUAAGCGUAUACCAAAGUUGUUGCAGUUAAAACGCUCGUAGUUGGAUUUCUGGUGGGAGCGAUCGGUCUGGCGCUUAGCGCGAGUACUUGCAUCGUCUCCGGCCAUCCUUGGGGAGAGUCUGUCUGGCAUUAGGUUGUCGGGCAGAGGAUCCUCAUCGUUUACUGUGAAAAAAUUAGAGUGUUCAAAGCAGGCUUAUGCCGUUGAAUAUAUUAGCAUGGAAUAAUAAGAUAGGACUUUGGUACUAUUUUGUUGGUUUGCGCACCAAAGUAAUGAUUAAUAGGGACAGUUGGGGGUAUUCGUAUUCCGUUGUCAGAGGUGAAAUUCUUGGAUUUACGGAAGACGAACUACUGCGAAAGCAUUUACCAAGGAUGUUUUCAUUAA
rnacentral:rRNA from 1 species